rnacentral:rRNA from 1 species
GCCAGACUCCUACGGGAGGCAGCAGUGGGGAAUAUUGCACAAUGGGGGGAACCCUGAUGCAGCGACGCCGCGUGGGUGAAGGAGCACCUCGGUGCGUAAAGCCCUAUCGGCAGGGAAGAAACAGACGGUACCUGACUAAGAAGCCCCGGCUAACUACGUGCCAGCAGCCGCGGGAAUACGUAGGUGGCAAGCGUUGUCCGGAAUUACUGGGUGUAAAGGGAGCGCAGGCGGGAAGCCAAGUCAGCUGUGAAAACUACGGGCUUAACUUGUAGACUGCAGUUGAAACUGGUUUUCUUGAGUGAAGGAGAGGUUGGCGGAAUUCCGAGUGUAGCGGUGAAAUGCGUAGAUAUUCGGAGGAACACCGGUGGCGAAGGCGGCCAACUGGGCUUUAACUGACGCUGAGGCUCGAAAGUGUGGGGAGCAAACAGGAUUAGAUACCCUAGUAG